rnacentral:rRNA from 1 species
UCCGCUAGUAGUGGCGAGCGAACGCGGAAGAGGCCAAACCGGAGGUAGCAAUAUUUCCGGGGUUAGGACUGCAAUAUGUAACUUUAAUCUUUAACUGAAUGCUUUGGGAAGAGCAGCGAUACAGGGUGAUAGCCCCGUAAGUGAAAAGGAUUGAGUGCUAGCAGUAUCCAGAGUACCAGCGGACACGUGAAACCCGCUGGGAAGAUGGGGGGACCAUCCUCCAAGCCUAAAUACUACUCAGUGACCGAUAGUGGAGCAGUACCGUGAGGGAAAGGUGAAAAGUACCCCGGGAGGGGAGUGAAAAAGAACCUGAAACCUUGUGCCUACAAGCACCGAGAGCACGUUAAAGUGUGAUCGGGUACUUUUUGUAGAACGGUCCGGCGAGUUAAUAUUUGCAGCGAGGUUAAGGAACUGGAGUUCCGGAGCCGCAGCGAGAGCGAGUCUGAAAAGGGCGUAUGAAGUUGCAGGUAUUAGACCCGAAACCGGGUGACCUAUCCAUGAGCAGGCUGAAGCGGUGGUAAGACACCGUGGAGGGCCGCACCCACGUCUGUUGAAAAAGCCGGGGAUGACUUGUGGAUAGCGGAGAAAUUCCAAUCGAACUCGGAGAUAGCUGGUUCUCCCCGAAAUAGCUUUAGGGCUAGCGUUAUUUUAGAUUACCGGAGGUAAAGCACUGAAUGGUCUAGGGGCCGCGAGGUUACCAAAGCCUAUCAAACUCUGAAUGCCGGAUAAUUGAUGAAUAGCAGUCAGACUGUGUGAGAUAAGUCUCAUAGUCAAAAGGGAAACAGCCCAGAUCUACAGCUAAGGUCCCAAAUGAACACUAAGUGGAAAAUGAUGUGAAACUGCGAAGACAACCAGGAUGUUGGCUUAGAAGCAGCCACUCAUUCAAAGAGUGCGUAAUAGCUCACUGGUCGAGUGGUUUUGCGCAGAAAAUGUAACGGGGCUAAGUGUUCAACCGAAGCUUAGGCAUUGCAGUAAUGCAUUGGGUAGGGGAGCGUCGUAUGCGGGGCGAAGUCAGAGCGGAAGCACUGGUGGACUGCAUACGAGUGAGAAUGCCGGAAUAAGUAGCGAGAAUUAUGUGAGAAUCAUAAUGGCCGAAAAUCUAAGGUUUCUUGGGGAAGGUUCGUCCGCCCAAGGUUAGUCGGGAGCUAAGCUCAGGCCGAAAGGCGUAGGCGAUGCACAUACGGUAGAAAUUCCGUAACCACCGAACAUUUAAGCUAGAGGGACGCUUUCAUUAAGUCUAUCCCGGGCGAUGGUUGCCCCGGGCGUAAGGGACCGAAAUUUAGUAGGGAAGUAGACGGCGUGAGAGACGAGAAAAGCUCUAGUGUAUACUAAGGUGCCCGUACCGCAAACCGACACAGGUAGAUGGGAUGAGUAUUCUAAGGCCAACGGGAGAAGGGUUGUUAAGGAACUCGGCAAAUUGGCCCCGUAACUUCGGGAUAAGGGGCGCCUGCGAGAGCAGGCCGCAGUGAAAAGGCCCAAGCGACUGUUUAGCAAAAACACAGCUCUCUGCUAAAUCGAAAGAUGACGUAUAGGGGGUGACGCCUGCCCGGUGCUGGAAGGUUAAGGGGAGUGCUUAGCGCAAGCGAAGGUGCGAACUUAAGCCCCAGUAAACGGCGGCCGUAACUAUAACGGUCCUAAGGUAGCGAAAUUCCUUGUCAGGUAAGUUCUGACCCGCACGAAUGGCGUAACGAUUUGGGCACUGUCUCAACAGCCCGCCCGGCGAAAUUGUAGUACCGGUGAAGAUGCCGGUUUCCCGCAACUAGACGGAAAGACCCCAUGGAGCUUCACUGUAGCUUGAUAUUGGAUCUCGGUAUUCCAUGUACAGGAUAGGUGGGAGGCUAGGAAGCGAGCGCGCCAGCGUUCGUGGAGCCAACCUUGGGAUACCACUCUUGGGAUAUUGGGAUUCUAACCUGCGACCAUGAAUCUGGUCGGGGGACACUGUCAGGUGGGCAGUUUGACUGGGGCGGUCGCCUCCAAAAGAGUAACGGAGGCGCUCAAAGGUUCGUUCAGCACGGACGGAAAUCGUGCACUGAGUGUAAACGCAUAAACGAGCCUAACUGCGAGAAUGACGGUUCGAGCAGUAACGAAAGUUGGAGUUAGUGAUCCGGCGGUAUGUGAAUGGAAAUGCCGUCGCUCAACGGAUAAAAGCUACCCUGGGGAUAACAGGCUGAUCUCCCCCAAGAGUCCACAUCGACGGGGAGGUUUGG